AUUACUAGAUGGACACUCUAAAAAGAAGAGAGAAAUUCUAGAAAUUCUUAUAAAAAAGCAAAACAUCUGGCCAUCAAUUGGUAGACUCAAAUCAUUCGUAGCCAUUGAAUCUAUUGUGUUUUCUAAAAAAUUACCCACCAAUGCCAUUAUAAAAAUAGCCUAAAGUAACCCCCUAAAUCUAUAUCUAAAUUACUAACCUCUGCCAUUAUAUAAAAUUAACUAAAG
rnacentral:lncRNA from 1 species